GUGGGGAAUCUUGCGCAAUGGGCGAAAGCCUGACGCAGCCAUGCCGCGUGAAUGAUGAAGGUCUUAGGAUUGUAAAAUUCUUUCACCGGGGACGAUAAUGACGGUACCCGGAGAAGAAGCCCCGGCUAACUUCGUGCCAGCAGCCGCGGUAAUAAGAAGGGGGCUAGCGUUGCUCGGAAUUACUGGGCGUAAAGGGCGCGUAGGCGGAUCGUUAAGUCAGGGGUGAAAUCCCAGAGCUCAACUCUGGAACUGCCCUUGAUACUGGCGAUCUUGAGUGUGAGAGAGGUAUGUGGAACUCCGAGUGUAGAGGUGAAAUUCGUAGAUAUUCGGAAGAACACCAGUGGCGAAGGCGACAUACUGGCUCAUUACUGACGCUGAGGCGCGAAAGCGUGGGGAGCAAACAGGAUUAGAAACCCUGGUAGUCC
rnacentral:rRNA from 1 species